rnacentral:rRNA from 1 species
GUAGUCUCGCACAGAUGCAUAUCAAUAAGCGGAGGAAAAGAAACUAACAAGGAUUCCCCUAGUAACGGCGAGUGAAGCGGGAAGAGCUCAAAUUUGAAAUCUUAAAGGGUUUCCCUUUACGAAUUGUAGUUUAAAGAAGUGUUUUCUGUUGAGGUUUUGGUAAAAGUUCUUUGGAAUAGGACAUCAUAGAGGGUGAGAAUCCCGUAUUUGACCUUUACUUUCAACUUUGUGAUACACUUUCAAAGAGUCGGAUUGUUUGGGAAUGCAGUCCAAAAUGGGUGGUAAAUUUCAUCUAAAGCUAAAUAUUGGCGAGAGACCGAUAGCGAACAAGUACCGUGAGGGAAAGAUGAAAAGAACUUUGAAAAGAGAGUUAAACAGUACGUGAAAUUGUCAAAAGGGAAGCGUUUGACACCAGUGUUGUUUUUCUGAAAAUCAAUUAAAGAACUGUUUAUGCUAAGCUGUUUAGACUUUAUCAGCUAUCUGUUUAGUUUUGAGCUUUUCUUUAAUGCACUUUUCAGUUAACAAGUCAACAUCAAUUUCUUUUGCUGUAAAAAAGCUUGAGGAAGGUGGCUUGAGAUUCGUCUUAAGUGUUUAUAGCCUCUUGCCUAUGCAGUCGGAGGGAUUGAGGUCUGCAGCGUAGAUCCUUCGGGGCUAAAUGCAUUUGUGCUAAGUUAUAGCAUUUUAUAGACAACUUGUUGACUAUGAUUUGUCUUGUAGCUUACUCGCUUAUGUUAUUUUACCUACGCUUAGGAUGUUGAGUAGCGACAUACGCAC